rnacentral:rRNA from 1 species
GUGGGGAAUAUUGGUCAAUGGGGGAAACCCUGAACCAGCAACGCCGCGUGAAGGAAGAAGGCUUUCGGGUUGUAAACUUCUUUUAUGAGGGACGAAGAAGUGACGGUACCUCAUGAAUAAGCCACGGCUAACUACGUGCCAGCAGCCGCGGUAAUACGUAGGUGGCAAGCGUUGUCCGGAUUUACUGGGUGUAAAGGGCGCGUAGGCGGGAUAGCAAGUCAGGUGUGAAAUCCGGGGGCUUAACCCUCGAACUGCACUUGAAACUGUUAUUCUUGAGUGAUGGAGAGGCAAGCGGAAUUCCUAGUGUAGCGGUGAAAUGCGUAGAUAUUAGGAGGAACACCAGUGGCGAAGGCGGCUUGCUGGACAUUAACUGACGCUGAGGCGCGAAAGCGUGGGGAGCAAACAGGAUUAGAAACCCUAGUAGUCC